rnacentral:sRNA from 1 species
AAUUAAAUUAGUAUUUGACUUUUUAAUCCUUAAAGAGAUAAAUUAAUUUACUCUUUAAAAUUUUAUUUCUAAUGGCAUACCUAUGUAAUUACUUACAAAAAUUAAGGUUACAUAAAAUAUACUUCCCAAAUAAUAUAGUAGGAUCUCUGUUUUUCCACAGUUAAUUUUUUUGUGUGAAAGGUUUUAUUAGUUAGUUUUUUUUUUUGAAUAU